rnacentral:lncRNA from 1 species
CUUAGGAAUUAUGAAAAUGCUAUUGGGCUGGCCCCAAAAUAGACUACAUUCUAGUAAUCCCCCACCAGAUCCGAGAGGCACAUAAAAUUUGCCUUUGGCUCCAAAAUACUGUUUAUAUACCGGUACUACAGUGGAGACUGUUAAGUUGAACUUUCAUCUAGAACUAUAUGCUACACUAGUAAGCAACUUGAAUAGUGAACUAGGCCUUGAAGUGCCAUUUUUUCUGCGAAUCUAGUUUAACACAAAACCUCGACUGAUAUUGGGCUACCAUGGGACUUCCACGCAAGUGGAGCUUAUGUGUCAUAUCUAUUGCCCUUCAUGAGUUUACUAGAGAGCACCCUACUCUCAUAGACUGCGAUGUUUAACAAUCAGACUCAUAUAGGUGUAUUCUUCAAAAGAUGUUCUAUAGUGCAACAUAUCUGAUUAAAUAAGCCACUUAGAACACAUUAAGAUAUACGUCAACCUACCAUGCAGAUUAGUAGAGUAUCAUGGAG